AGUAAAAGUCGUAACAAGGUCUCCGUUGGUGAACCAGCGGAGGGAUCAUUACAGAGUUAUCCAACUCCCAAACCCAUGUGAACUUAUCUCUUUGUUGCCUCGGCGCAAGCUACCCGGGACCUCGCGCCCCGGGGGGCCCGCCGGCGGACAAACCAAACUCUGUUAUCUUCGUUGAUUAUCUGAGUGUCUUAUUUAAUAAGUCAAAACUUUCAACAACGGAUCUCUUGGUUCUGGCAUCGAUGAAGAACGCAGCGAAAUGCGAUAAGUAAUGUGAAUUGCAGAAUUCAGUGAGUCAUCGAAUCUUUGAACGCACAUUGCGCCCAUUAGUAUUCUAGUGGGCAUGCCUGUUCGAGCGUCAUUUCAACCCCUAAGCACAGCUUAUUGUUGGGACUCUACGGCUUCGUAGUUCCCCAAAGACAUUGGCGGAGUGGCAGCAGUCCUCUGAGCGUAGUAAUUCUUUAUCUCGCUUUUGUUAGGCGCUGCCCCCCCGGCCGUAAAACCCCCAAUUUUUUCUGGUUGACCUCGGAUCAGGUAGGAAUACCCGCUGAACUUAAGCAUAUCAAUAAGCGGAGGAAAAGAAACCAACAGGGAUUGCCCCAGUAACG
rnacentral:rRNA from 1 species